GUCUGCAACUCGACUACAUGAAGCUGGAAUCGCUAGUAAUCGCAGAUCAGAAUGCUGCGGUGAAUACGUUCCCGGGUCUUGUACACACCGCCCGUCACACCAUGGGAGUUGGGAAUGCCCGAAGUCAGUGACCCAACCGAAAGGAGGGAGCUGCCGAAGGCAGAUUCGAUAACUGGGGUGAAGUCGUAACAAGGUAAC
rnacentral:rRNA from 1 species